UCGUGACCUGGCUGAAGUCGGAUGCUUAACCGACUGUGCCACCCAGGCGCCCCAGUUACUCUGUUUUAAAUAUUAGGCUUCCUGAUAAGAUUUUGUUGGAGAUUCCCAUGGCCCCAAAGAGUUUGUAAACCACUGGCCUAGUACAAGAAAGCCAUAGUCCGAGAAUGAAGACCCCUGUACUAGACUGAGUUCUGUUACUCGUUUGCUGUGGGACCCACUACUGUUGCACGUCCCUUUGCUCAGAGUUAGAAUGGGGAGAAGAUAAUGGAUUCAGGGCAUGAUAGGAGAUUUUUUAAAGCCUAAAGCAGUACAUACAUCGUAGAGAUCGUCUUACCAUCCCAAGUUCACUUCAUCCUCAGUAGAAGUUCUGCUGUUUAAAUGAUCCCAAUAUCAUAAUUGGCUUGAUGAGGUCUCAAAACACAGCUGAAACUAAUUAGUUCCGUGUGGAAGAAACAGAACAUCUUUUUGUUUGCUUACGCUUUUUGAACAUUAGGCGUGAAGAAGUCUCCAGUUCUUGAAGUCGAAGAAGACAUUUAUUUUUGCAUCAGUUUAUUUCCCGGUCAAUUCCAAAAGCUAUUUUCAUGGACCAAAUCCCAAGAAUAACUAGAAAAAAAUGUCCCCCGAUUCCCACGAAUCAGUGUUUCCCGUGAGUUCAUCAAUCCAAUCCAGUUGAAGGGGAAAACCACCUCUGUUUAAUUAGAGACUGUGGGACACUAUUUACACCUGCUUUUCUAACACACACAGUGUGUAAACAUUAACCAAGAUAGUCAUUGCAAACUUAAACUGUGAAAACACAUAUCUCAGUAUCUUCACAAGAAAUAUUGGCCAGAGCAGUGUUUUAUAACUAAUCAGGAUGCUUGUGAGCAUUUAUAUGAGCAUUGUGCAGUGCCCAUAAAUAUUUGACUACUUAAUAAAUGUAAAUGUAGUAUGAAAUUAAGGAACACUGAUUCAAAAGCGGACAUUAAUUGCCAAUGGAAACUUAAGCGUAAGCUAUUAACUUACCACAACGUCUGGGAGUCCUAUUUAAAUCCCAAUAAUCCAAAGAAUUGUAACCUAUUACACUCAAUUUGGAAAAAGUAAAUAGUGACCAACUUAAUUUUAUGCUUUUGUCUCACCAGAUGCAAUCAUAGCAUGAGCUACCUUUCCUAUUUUCGAACACUGAUGAGUAGAAUACAGUUUUCAGCAGAUUUCUAUAGAAGCUGGAUUUGGAGCUCAAAGAAGUCUGGCAAGUUUCAGUUAUGUGUUUGUUAUAAAGAUGCAAUUUGUGACAUUUAUAGUUUUAUUGAAAGGAGGAUUUGGUUCAGGAAAAAAAUUUUCCACCUGUUAGGCUGAAGAAUCCUAGUCGUGGGGGACUCUAUAAUGUGUUUCAGUCUUUGUUGGCAAGGGGAGGUACAGAGAAAAAAUCACUUCCCUCUGUCCUUCAGUCCCUAUUUUCCCGCUCCAGCUCCUAGAGUAUGAGAAAGGGGUACUCUGCCCACCUGGGGGCCUCCUUAAUGUUCUCAUUCCAGAAGCAGUCGUUAAUUUGAUUGGCCAGGGUUUGAGAUUUAUCCGACCACAUUCGCAGGGAGCAGGGCUGCAGAUGGGCCAUUCUCCUGCUGUUCCACCUGUGAUCGGGGUGGCUGGGUCAUUAGCCUCCAGGUCCGCCCUGCAGGAGCAGGCCAAGUUCCUCUCUCCCUCUCCCUGUAGGACGCCUCACCACAUAGAAUCCAAGAUUCAGAUUCAAGGACCAGGGGUCUUCUCCCUGCUUCAGGCUUUGCGGGCUCUGACUUACUGCAGUGUUCUUUCCACCAAGCUCCCAUAGGUCUGUGAUAUGGCCUGGGAUUCUGCAUUUCUAGCAAGCUCCCAGGGGCUUUUAUAAGUUAAUGUGCAUUGUGGAUCUCCGAAAAGGACAUAAAACAUGAACCAUUCCCCCAAAGUAUUUUCCAAGGAAAUCCCUAGUUUUUUUCAGGGGGGCUAAUAAGACUGAAGUCCAU